CUUUGACCUCGGAUCAGGUAGGGAUACCCGCUGAACUUAAGCAUAUCAAUAAGCCGGAG
rnacentral:rRNA from 1 species